GAUGAAGAACGUAGCAAAAUGCGAUAAGUAAUGCGAAUUGCAGAAUUUCCGUGAGUCAUCGAAUCUUUGAACGCACAUUGCGCCCAUUGGUAUUCCGAUGGGCAUGCCUGUUCGAGCGUCAUUACAACCCUCAGGCCCCCGGGCCUGGCGUUGGGGAUCGGCGGAGCCCCCCGUGGGCACACGCCGUCCCCCAAAUACAGUGGCGGUCCCGCCGCAGCUUCCAUCGCGUAGUAGCUAACACCUCGCGACUGGAGAGCGGCGCGGCCACGCCGUAAAACACCCAACUCUUCUGAAGUUGACCUCGAAUCAGGUAGGAAUACCCGCUGAACUUAAGCAUAUCAAUAAGCGGAGGA
rnacentral:misc_RNA from 1 species